rnacentral:lncRNA from 1 species
GAUCAUGGAGUGUCCUCCACUGCAUAAAAGUGGCAACACAGUGGCCACAUGCCAGUGUUUCUCCUGGAGAAUCUCAUGGCAGUGCCUUCUGAUGAUAGGUCAUCCCUAUCUAUCUGCAGUGCUUCUGAUGCCUCUCGCAGGCCUGCACAAGACUAGGGCUUUUUGUUAAAUUUCCAACAGGGACUUGUUCUUGACGAUAUCGCCAUUCUCGGUUUCUUCCUUGCGAACUUGUUCUUCUCUCUUGGCGACAGUGGCAGCUGCCCCGCGGAUGGGCUCUCAAACGCGGAAAACGAGAAGACUUUUCUCGUUGAGAUCUUCACUUACCAGCGCGGAAUUCUUGUGCAACUUCCUCCAAGCUCUCACCCAAGAUUCUCUGCUUCGUUGCCUCCAAGCUCUGGAAUUGCCACUCCUGCAAGCACCCAACUCGCCGAAUUCCCCUUCAGCACCGCAAAGAUCUAGGGCGAUGGCAGCAGCAGAUGCGGCGGAUGUUAGGGCGGGUAUCAUUGUGCCAGGCAAUGUGAUCGUGUCAAGGUGCUUAGUGUGAGGGAAGUUUUCGCUCUACAACGAGAUUGUUACGCGAGUUCCUCCUGUGCCACUAGAACAGGAAUCCUGGUAUGCCGCAUUAUCUGGACGGGGAUUGAACGGCCACAGUCAGUCAUUCUCUACGAGACAUAGAUCGACGAGAUCGAAUCGCCUGAAGUUACCUUCCAUCUGAUCAACCAACAGAGCUCUCCUGACUGAAUUGGCAACCGAGUUCUUCUUGCUGCCUUGUUGGACGGGCACAACUCCAGAGCCAUGAGGAAACUUCGUCGCACGUACACACGCUAUCUGCCUCCAUGGGACAGGAGACAGUUCGGUUUGCUUGUCGACUUGUGGAAGUUGCGAGCGGACAAGAUGGCCCCUAGAGACGCAAACGAGAUCAAGGAGAAGAUGCAGGCUGCCGACUUAGCAUGCUCUUGGUUGGGUGGCAUCCCAAGUUUUCUGUGGGAUCAUGAGCCUGGAACGCUCACACGUUCAGAUGCAAGGAAGUGCCUGGCCAACACCAAGCUCAGGAAAGUGUCUUGCAUCCUGCAGAGCUCUGCCGACGU